CUUAUAGCCUCGAGUGAAUGCGUUAUGGCCGUAGAGCACUGCUUGGACUAGGGGCCCUACCAGGUUACCGACUUCAGGCAAACUCCGAAGACCAUUACGUGUAUCUCGGGAGUCAGUGUGCGGGGGAUAAACUUCGUACGCGAGAGGGAAACAUCCCAGACCAUCAGCUAAGGACCCCAAGUGUUUGCUAAGUGGGAAACGAUGUUCGAAUGCACAGACAACCAAGAGGUUGGCUUAGAAGCAGCCAUCCUUGAAAGAGUGCGUAACAGCUCACUGGUCAAGUGUUCGAGCGCGGAUAAUUCAACGGGGCUCAAGCAAACCUCCGAAGCUAUGGACUCAGCAGAUCUGCGGAUUCGCUGAGUGGUAGGAGAGCGUUCCUGUUGCUUGAAGCGGUCGCGUAAGCGUCCGUGGAGCGUCAGGAAGUGAGAAUGUCGGCAUGAGUAACGCAAGGAAGGUGAGAAUCCUUCCCACCGAUUGUCCAAGGUUUCCUGAGUAAAGUUCGUCUGCUCAGGGUUAGUCGGGACCUAAGACGAGGCCGAAAGGCGUAGUCGAUGGCCAACGGGUUGAUAUUCCCGUACCACGUCGCAUCCGUUAUGACCAAUGGGGUGACGAGGAAAGGAAAGGGAACCCAGGCGAUGGUUGUCCUGGGGUAAGCGCGUAGCUAGUCGUGAUUGGCAAAUCCGUCACGGCGUUUUGACGCGAGGCGCGAUGCCAGCUGGCUUGACCGCCGGCGAGUCCCUGUACCUAUGCCUCCAAGAAAAACCUCUAGGCAGGAUGCUCGUGCCCGUACCGAGAACCAACACAGGUGGACAGGUAGAGAAUACUAAGGUGAGCGAGCUAGCCCUCGUUAAGGAACUCGGCAAAAUCGUCCCGUAACUUCGGGAGAAGGGACGCCCCGGUAGGGUGAAGCCACUUGCUGGCUGAGCCCGAGGGGGCCGCAGUGACUAGGUCCAACCGACUGUUUACCAAAAACACAGGCCUCUGCUAAGUCGAAAGACGAUGUAUAGGGGCUGACGCCUGCCCGGUGCCGGAAGGUUACGCGGAGUUGUUAGCUCUUCGGAGCGAAGCAGCGAAGCUAAGCCCCGGUAAACGGCGGCCGUAACUAUAACGGUCCUAAGGUAGCGAAAUUCCUUGUCGGGUAAGUUCCGACCUGCACGAAUGGCGUAACGAGUUGGACGCUGUCUCAACGAGGGGCUCGGUGAAAUUAGAGUCUCGGUGAAGAUACCGAGUACGCGCAGCUAGACGGAAAGACCCCGUGAACCUUUACUGCAACUUGAUGUUGGAGUUCGGUACAUCUCGCUAGAAAG
rnacentral:rRNA from 1 species